UGGCAAAAAGGCAAAGCGCCUCCCUGGGGGGCACGUCUGAACAGAGAGCAGCACUCACCUGAAGUGCGGAUAAUUUACAAAGAUGAUCUUCGGGGGGGUUUAAACAUGACUUUGUAAAGGCUCGGAAUUGCUGAUGGUUGGAAGGGUAAAUUAUCGGCCUGGUCAGGAAAUGGUCGUGCAGCGGAAAACGGCAAGGACAACAGACAAAAUGGCGGAGUAUGACGAGGGAUUGCUGCCACAGUAAUGUAUUUAUCAACCCCCUCAGAAGGAAAGCCACAUUAAGUUUGACAGCUGAAGCAAAGGUGUAUAUGAAAAUAAGCAAUAGUUUUGGAUGAAGUUGUAAAGGUCACCAAGCAACUGAGAACAAGGAGAGCAGACUGAUCGUUCGUUGGGGAACACCGAAAGGAAUGACAUAACCUUAAGCGAAGUGGAAGAUAGGAAUUGAACCAGCAACACACACCUGCAGUCUCGCCUGCUACCCUCAAGUUCUACCACUGGAGCAAGGCCAGAGCCUUGCUGUGUCCAGAUAAGGAACCGUCUUUCGUUGUUUUGGAACCGUCUCUUUGUGUCCUCACCUUCACCAGAUCCCCCGAGACCGCCGUUUCCAUUGCGGCUCAGAAUUCUAAUAUGAACCAUCUUGCAAUCUAAGUGAGCGGCUCGCACCGUCUUGACACCUUAACGUCAGCGACACAAACACCCACUCGCUCACUGACCUGGAA